rnacentral:rRNA from 1 species
UACGUAGGGGGCAAGCGUUGUCCGGAAUCAUUGGGCGUAAAGCGCGCGUAGGCGGCCCGGUAAGUCCGCUCUGAAAGUCCAGGGCUCAACCCUGGAAAGCGGGUGGAUACUGCCGGGCUAGAAUCCGGAAGAGGCGAGUGGAAUUCCUGGUGUAGCGGUGGAAUGCGCAGAUAUCAAGAGGAACACCGGUGGCGAAGGCGGGUCUCUGGGCCAAAACUGACGCUGAGGAGCGAAAGCGUGGGGAGCGAACAGG